UCAACUUUACAACAUCAUAUACCAAACGACCCCAAUACCCUUUGUUCUUUAACACCAAAAUACACGCACCUUUUAUCUUCUUUUUUUUUUCAACACAAAGAACCACCAUUUUUUCUUGCGAAAAUUCCUCAAAAUCCUGGGGGAUUUGAGCUCACUCAUCUCCCUCAAAACAAUUUAGGAGCAGCACUCGAAAUUGGUGUGGAAAUCUAUCUGCUCAACUCAUCGUCUCAAGUUUGAUGCACGACAAGAGACUAGCAGCAACAAAUGAGCAGCAAGGAAAUGGGUCAAAGUAAAACAUAUGCAGCGGCAAUAGUUAGCCCCUCAAAAGGCUAAAAUGAUUGAGACUUUGGACUUAAGAAGUCCUCUUUGAUCAGUGGCUACAAGAAGUAGAAAUAGAAGUAGAAAUGGAAGAAUGCCUUUUUUUUUAAUUCUUUACUUUAUUUAGUUCUUGACUAUAGUUGUGAAUUCAUGAUAUUUGUUACUAAUUUAUUGAAUCACUAAUUAACUUAGAUGAAUCCUCAAAUGAAAAAA